UACGAAGGGGGCUAGCGUUGCUCGGAAUCACUGGGCGUAAAGCGCACGUAGGCGGACUCUUAAGUCGGUGGUGAAAUCCUGGAGCUCAACUCCAGAACUGCCUUCGAUACUGGGAGUCUUGAGUCCGGGAGAGGUGAGUGGAAUUGCGAGUGUAGAGGUGAAAUUCGUAGAUAUUCGCAAGAACACCAGUGGCGAAGGCGGCUCACUGGCCCGGUACUGACGCUGAGGUGCGAAAGCGUGGGGAGCAAACAGG
rnacentral:rRNA from 1 species